rnacentral:tRNA from 1 species
GGGGCUAUAGUCUAGCCUGGUCUAGGAUUCUUGCUUUGGGAGCAAGCGACGGGGGUUCAAAUCCUCCUAGCCCCA